UAGGCCACUAGGCGGCGCUGUUGCCAUUACUAUAACAGAUGCAGUUCAGCAUUUUCUUUGCUUUUUUAUACCUUACGAGAUGCCGUAGUUUACACUUGAUUUGUGUAGGCCGCCAUGUUCGUUAAAAACUGUGUGUCCUACGUUAAGGGGAUGAUGAAACCAGCCUUCUCUGUGACAAUAAAUCCUAAUGGUCUCAGCCACAAUCUUCAA